UAUAGGAGCAACAAACUUAUAUAAAGCAUAGAUUCUGUUUAAUACGAAUCACCAGUCUUCUACAGGACACAAAGUAAACAUGAACAAGUCAGCUCUUCUCCGUUUGCUCGUAGUCGGACUCCUUGUUCUCACUGACACCGCCGUUGUCGGUCGUCGUCGCAGAUAGGUA